AGUCGUAGUGAACCUGCGGAAGGAUCAUUA
rnacentral:rRNA from 1 species